ensembl:lncRNA
CUGGAGGUAGGGAUUGCUGAGAUUGAUUGUGAUAGAGGUUGAUUUUGUUGGAAAGUGGUAUUUUGUUGCUCAGAUAGAGCUUAUUUGACAUCCUUUUGUUUCUUAGUUUGUUUAAAAUUGUUUAAUAUUCUGUUUCAUUUGUUCCCAGGGGGGAAGGGGAAGGCACCUAGGGAGUGCUUAGGCAAGAGGCCGCGGGCAUACAUAUACCCGUAGCAUAUUCGCUGUCUAGACACACUAGGUAAGACCUGGGCGGACCACCCCUUGUAUUUUGGUUAGGGCACCAGGUGGUGCUAAAUUAGGUAAGUAGGGGGGGCUUUGAGAUUUAC